rnacentral:rRNA from 1 species
UACGAAGGGGGCUAGCGUUGCUCGGAAUCACUGGGCGUAAAGAGCGCGCAGGCGGUCGUGCAAGUCGCGUGUGAAAGCCCCCCGGCUCAACUGGGGAGGGUCACGCGAUACUGCUCGACUCGAAGGCAGGAGAGGGAAGUGGAAUUCCCGGUGUAGUGGUGAAAUUCGUAGAUAUCGGGAGGAACACCGGUGGCGAAGGCGGCGACCUGGGUGGAUAC